CACAAAUACAAGUAGUUGUCAAUCAUCUUACCCUGUAAAUAGGGGACAGCUAGAGCCCAUUAAGUUCUCUUGUACUAUAGUGGGCUGCAUGCUAGGAUCUUCUCCUUGAGCAGGGAUGCAUCUCAAGGUUGCUCCUCGUUAUCGAGAGACUCUUCUACCUGUGACAGAUACACAAUAUUCAAAGUGCUACUGGAUGUGACCAUGAGUAACCUGAUUUAACUUUGGCAUUAGCCUUGGUUUGAGUGAGAGAAUGGAGCAGAUCCGAUGACCCCCAGAAGUCCAUCCCCACUUGAAUUUUGCUAUGAUUCUGUAUGGAGACCUCAUUCUCUUGUAAAGACAAAUAAAUGAAAGAAGUUCUUGAGCACUUACUACUGUUCACACUAAAGAAGAUCAUGCAAAUGCCCGAGUGCCAUGCUUCAAUACAGGAGAAAGCGGAGUGUUGCUGAGCCUACACUACUACUGUUUUAGAAUUUGUCUUUUGACUGCUUUGUGUCAGGCAUUCAAUAUUAACUUCUUGACAACAAAAACACAACAAAUUGGGCAAUCUUUACUUCUUUCCUUCAUCAAAAAUGGAAAGGCAGUACCAGCUCCACCUGGCUAUCAGCGACCUGGGAGAAACAACUGGGCUACAAGGUCUACAAGCACUAUACUUUGUGGAUGAAAUGCAGCUGAGGAGGGUCUGCAAACUGGUGUGCAUAAAGUGUUUCUGCUGUGUACAGAGAGCACCUUCUACAUCUGUGGGGAAGCACUGGAGAAAGACCAGAAAAUGUUAAGAACUCAACUACAUCAGAAGAUGUGAACAGAGUGAUAGCUCUGAUCCUCAGGACAUCAGAAGAAAAAUCUGCUACCUCCAAGCAACAAUACCUUCAUAUGCUUUAAGGACAGGGAAAAAAGUAGCAGUAUGCAGGGAAUUCCUACACUCUGCCAUUUGGGAUACAUAGUAAUUCUGGGAUGCAACGGAUCAUCUUAAAGGUUUUAGAAGGCAUAAAAAUUCCUUUUAAAGGCUUUCCUAUCACAGUCUAGCCUACUGGGAAGAGGAGGAAAAAAGAGGGUGAAAUUUCUGCACAUCUAAAUGACAAUCUUGGAAAUGUAAGCUUUUGCCACUGUACGCAACAGUUUGUGAAUCUUUUGUAACAUUCAUAAGGGACCAUAGAAUAUUUCUAGGAAAGAAAAGUAGGUUAGACUAAGUUAUCCAAUAUCCACAAAGGCUCUGAAAGAUGCAAGCACCUGCAUUUUUCUAAACUGGCAGGAAAUAUAAGAAUCACUUGA